CCGCCCCUCGGCCUCCUCUCCUCCCCACCUUCUCCCGCGAACCCACACUCACAAAGAGCCGAGGGGAAAGAGGGUGCGCAGACGGGCAGCCAGGCCGCGCCAGGCACAUACUGGAGACAGGAAGUGGCUGAGAGGGGGAGAGAGAGUUGGAGAGAGACGGCCGCGGAGGACACGGGGACGGGAAAGUCUCAGAGACGGGGAGAGCCUGACCCGGCGGGACACAGGCAAAAAGAAACACGCGAGCCAGAGAGACGCAGAAGAAACGUGCCUGGUACUGGAUAGGAACUUCAUGGAAUGGAGCUAAUGGGCCCUAGGGCAGGUUCGAGUCGUGCCACCCUGGAGGGGAAGGUGGAGGGUAGGGAUAAGGGGGCGGAGCACCUGAUUCCAGUCUUGCAGCAGGGAAGAAGAGUCUGUAAAGAAGUGCGUGAUGACGGUGUGUCCUCCCCACCCAGAAACUGGCAUUUGGGAGGGGUGGAUAUGGUUGGGACUGGGAAGCCUUGAUCUUACUGCUCUUGGUUGAGUUGGUGUUCAAUAGACAGUUUCAGAGGUUAGAGCAGUGGGAGUCACUGGGCACUGGGGACAGGAGAGGAGUGGGUUGGGGGAGCCAGGCAGGAACGAGUAGGGAGGCACUGGGAGGAAGGGAGAGGCAAGAGUUAGGGGAAUACCGAGGAGAGUGGCAGGGAUUGGAGGCUCCUGGAGAAAGGGCAGGGCUGAAGGUUGUCCCGUGUAUUUUGGCCAGAUUUGAUUAUGUAAUCGAGAUACACGAGAUAAUUAAAUGUGUUCAUGUCUUUGGA